UAUGGCUGACUUUGGUAACUCAUUUCUUUGCAGUGUCAGAGGGACUGGAUGUAAAGCAGAGAUAAAAAGAAGAGGCUGGAGGAGCACAGUCAGAAGAUGCGGAGCCCUCGGCCCAGCAGACGAUAGGCACCAGAGGGAAGGUGAGUCCGGUGAGCAAGGCAAUGCACCGACAUCUAACAUGCAGUCCAACGUGAUGGGGACCCUCCCUGUAAGAGGAGACGUACGCAGCCUCACAGGGCUGAAGCCAACUCUCAAUGAGGUGCCAUCUGGCUAACCUGUGGGAGCAGAUGAGCAUUGGAGGUAUCCCAGAAGAUGACAUCACAUUGUCCAACUCUGGUCAGAGCCAGCGACCCGAGGAGCUGCUUCGGUGAGAUUGACUCCUAGUAGUCUGACGAUGGCAGGAACCUCUGAGCCAGCCCAGGUGCCCCUCCUGUGCAUCAAAGAUGGAUUGACAUCCCCGGCUCUCGGAAAGUUAAGUGCAGGGCAAAGACCCAGAGAGGGGUUGGGAGUCGGGGCAAGUAUGUGCCUCGCCUGGAGGGAUUUUUGAAAUUAGUAUGGUGCAAGGGGUAUUAUCCUGGAACAGGUUAUUUGGACGCAUCAAAGGAAGGGCUUACUUUUUAUCAUGGGAUUCACGUGUGCAGGGCA